rnacentral:lncRNA from 1 species
UUGGCUUGUGCUUGGGUUUCCGUCCUAAAAAAGAACAAAAUAUUUUUGAUCGAUUAACUUAAUGUUUAUACUAAGAAUUUUAGUAAGUAUUGAAUAAUUUACUUUCAGAGAAGCGAUUUCCGCCAUCAAGUCUUCAUGUUUUUUUUUUCAAGUCCUCCAUUUCUUGGUUAACCGUCUCGAAUCUCUGGUUAACGGCCGUCUCUAAUUGCAUGUUAAAGGCUUUUUUAACACGACUAUCGAAUUCUUCUUUUUUAUUCUUUUCUAUUUCUUCUCUUGUUCGACGAUCUAUUUUAGCCUUAGAUUUCUUUGGCAUCAAAGAAUCGUCCCCUGGUCUAAUUCCGAGAAUACGUCCUUUAGUCUUGCCUCCUGUAGUCCUAAUCUAAGCUUUCAGACUAUCAUCAAUGAAUAGAGGCUUUUUUCGCUUGUAGGAGGUCGAUCCUUGCGUCGAUAUUUCUUCUUCGUCUGUUUCCUCCUCCUCCUCCUCCUCCUCC